rnacentral:tRNA from 2 species
GCGUUGUUGGUGCAGUGGUAGCAUGCCUCAUUUGGGUCUCUUGAAGUGAAAGCUUAUGAAUUUCCGGCAUUGAGGUGGUCCUCGGUUCAAUCCCGGGACGACGCC